rnacentral:rRNA from 1 species
GACGAACGCUGGCGGCGUGCUUAACACAUGCAAGUCGAACGGUAAGGCUCCAGCUUGCUGGGGUACACGAGUGGCGAACGGGUGAGUAACACGUGGGUGACCUGCCCUGCACUUCGGGAUAAGCCUGGGAAACUGGGUCUAAUACCGGAUAGGACCAUGGUGUGGAUACUGUGGUGGAAAGUUUUUUCGGUGUGGGAUGGGCCCGCGGCCUAUCAGCUUGUUGGUGGGGUAAUGGCCCACCAAGGCGGCGACGGGUAGCCGGCCUGAGAGGGUGGACGGCCACAUUGGGACUGAGACACGGCCCAGACUCCUACGGGAGGCAGCAGUGGGGAAUAUUGCACAAUGGGCGGAAGCCUGAUGCAGCGACGCCGCGUGGGGGAUGACGGCCUUCGGGUUGUAAACUCCUUUCACCAUCGACGAAGGGUUUCUGACGGUAGAUGGAGAAGAAGCACCGGCUAACUACGUG